rnacentral:misc_RNA from 1 species
UACGUAGGGAGCAAGCGUUGUCUGGAUUUACUGGGCGUAAAGGGUGCGCAGGCGGAUUGGUAAGUCAGAGGUGAAAUCUCACGGCUCAACCGUGAAAUUGCCUUUGAUACUGCUGAUCUUGAGUUCGGGAGAGGUCGAUGGAAUUCCAGGUGUAGCGGUGAAAUGCGUAGAUAUCUGGAAGAACACCAGUAGCGAAGGCGGUCGACUGGCCCGUAACUGACGCUCAGGCACGAAAGCAUGGGGAGCAAACAGG